GGGGAAAGAAGACCCUGUUGAGCUUGACUCUAGUUUGACUUUGCGAAGAGACAUGGGAGGUGUAGCAUAAGUGGGAGACUUCGGUCGAAAGUGAAAUACCACUACUCCCAUCGUUUCUUUACUUACUCGAUGAGGCGGAGUGCGAUUCUUAUCAGAAUCACCCUACUUGCGCAAAGUGUCGGACUGUCUAUCAGGCAGUCUGCACGAUCCGAUUCGAGGACAUUGUCAGGCGGGGAGUUUGACUGGGGCGGUACAUCUGUCAAAUACUAACGCAGGUGUCCUAAGGUUGGCUCCGUCAGGACAGAAACCUGGCUUAGAGCAAAAGGGCAAAUGCCAGCUUGAUCUACGACGUUCAGUAAACGUAUAGACGGCGAAAGCCU
rnacentral:rRNA from 1 species